CAUUUUACGUAGGUGCUGCAUGGUUGUCGUCAGCUCGUGCCGUGAGGUGUCGGGUUAAGUCCCAUAACGAGCGCAACCCUACCCUUUAGUUGCCAUCAGGUAAUGCUGGGGACUCUAAAGGAACUGCCUACGCAAGUAGUGAGGAAGGCGGGGAUGACGUCAAAUCAGCACGGCCCUUACGUCCAGGGCUACACACGUGCUACAAUGGCCGAUACAGAGGGCAGCUACCUGGUGACAGGAUGCAAAUCUCCAAAGUCGGUCUCAGUUCGGAUCGGAGUCUGCAACCCGACUCCGUGAAGUUGGAUUCGCUAGUAAUCGCGCAUCAGCCAUGGCGCGGUGAAUACGUUCCCGGGCCUU
rnacentral:rRNA from 1 species